rnacentral:misc_RNA from 1 species
GAUGAAGAACGCAGCGAAAUGCGAUAAGUAAUGUGAAUUGCAGAAUUCAGUGAAUCAUCGAAUCUUUGAACGCACCUUGCGCUCCUUGGUAUUCCGAGGAGCAUGCCUGUUUGAGUGUCAUGAACACCUCAACUCUUUAUGGUUUUCCAUGAUGAGCUUGGACUCUGGGGGUUUUGCUGGCUUACAGUCGGCUCCUCUAAAAUGAAUCAGCUUACCAGUGUUUGGUGGGUAUCAUGGGUGUGAUAACUAUCUACGCUUGUGGUUUUUCCACCAGGUAACCUUCAGCAGUGGAGGUUCGCUGGAGCUCAUAGAUGUCUCUCCUCAGUGAGGACAGCCCUUUGAAUGUUUGAUCUCAAAUCAGGUAGGACUACCCGCUGAACUUAAGCAUAUCAAUAAGCGAGGA